rnacentral:miRNA from 1 species
UUUUUGGCAUCAUGAUACUGUG